rnacentral:sRNA from 1 species
UCAGCUCCCCAGCUAAUGGGCCAAGAGAUUCUCCCCGCCAGGCCCCCCACUCUCAGGCUGGGGAGCCCUACUCCCCACUUGCCCCAGGAGCUGCUCAGAGCCAGUCCCAAGGGACCCCCAGGGAGACUGCAGCUGGGAGGGCUGGCUGUGAGAAACGACCGAAACAAGAAGAAGAAGGAGGUGCCCAAGCCCGAGUGCUCUGAGAGCUACACGCUGACGCCGGAGGUGGGGGAGCUCAUUGAGAAGGUGCGCAAAGCGCACCAGGAAACCUUCCCUGCCCUCUGCCAGCUGGGCAAAUACACUACGAACAACAGCUCAGAACAACGUGUCUCUCUGGACAUUGACCUCUGGGACAAGUUCAGUGAACUCUCCACCAAGUGCAUCAUUAAGACUGUGGAGUUCGCCAAGCAGCUGCCCGGCUUCACCACCCUCACCAUCGCUGACCAGAUCACCCUCCUCAAGGCUGCCUGCCUGGACAUCCUGAUCCUGCGGAUCUGCACGCGGUACACGCCCGAGCAGGACACCAUGACCUUCUCGGACGGGCUGACCCUGAACCGGACCCAGAUGCACAACGCUGGCUUCGGCCCCCUCACCGACCUGGUCUUUGCCUUCGCCAACCAGCUGCUGCCCCUGGAGAUGGAUGAUGCGGAGACGGGGCUGCUCAGCGCCAUCUGCCUCAUCUGCGGAGACCGCCAGGACCUGGAGCAGCCGGACCGGGUGGACAUGCUGCAGGAGCCGCUGCUGGAGGCGCUAAAGGUCUACGUGCGGAAGCGGAGGCCCAGCCGCCCCCACAUGUUCCCCAAGAUGCUAAUGAAGAUUACUGACCUGCGAAGCAUCAGCGCCAAGGGGGCUGAGCGGGUGAUCACGCUGAAGAUGGAGAUCCCGGGCUCCAUGCCGCCUCUCAUCCAGGAAAUGUUGGAGAACUCAGAGGGCCUGGACACUCUGAGCGGACAGCCGGGGGGUGGGGGGCGGGACGGGGGUGGCCUGGCCCCCCCGCCAGGCAGCUGUAGCCCCAGCCUCAGCCCCAGCUCCAACAGAAGCAGCCCGGCCAC